CCGCAAGGGGAGUGGCAGACGGGUGAGUAACGCGUGGGAACAUACCCUUCGGUUCGGAAUAGCUCAGGGAAACUUGGAUUAAUACCGGAUACGUCCGUAAGGAGAAAGAUUUAUCGCCGAAGGAUUGGCCCGCGUCUGAUUAGCUUGUUGGUGAGGUAAUGGCUCACCAAGGCGACGAUCAGUAGCUGGUCUGAGAGGAUGACCAGCCACAUUGGGACUGAGACACGGCCCAAACUCCUACGGGAGGCAGCAGUGGGGAAUAUUGGACAAUGGGCGAAAGCCUGAUCCAGCCAUGCCGCGUGAGUGAUGAAGGCCUUAGGG
rnacentral:rRNA from 1 species